UGAUUCCUGGAGUUUGCAUUUAUGUUGUAACAGUCACAACAUUAACUGUUGCAAUUAAAUGUGCACGUGUCUGCGCUUAAACUGAAAGGUGUUUCUUGGAUUCCCUACUCUUGUCUGUUACAGUGAAGGGGGGGUUCACGGUAAUAAUGCAAUCCCUUCAAAGACAAACAUGACAGCUUCUGUCUUGGCCCACAUCAGAUUUUGUAAGUGAACCUAAUGUUUAUACCUUGACUGUUUUUAGCCACCAGACCUUCCUCGCUUCACUACUCUUGGCUGCUGCAUGUUUUCGCCCACCUCCCCUCGCCUCCCCUCUCUGGCUCUCUUGCAGUGAAUGCCAGGCCUCCCACCACUUGGUCCAGAUUUAGACCUCUGCUCUUCCAAGACUUUCAGGCCCAGAUUGAAUCGUGCUGUACUGCUCCACUUCUUCACGUCUCGUCCGUAUCGCCAACAUAGGCACAGAACCCUGCAGAUGUCGGCCAGUGGCGCGAGGGAUAUUUAGCAUUUCAUUCUGAUGCCAAGGGUGUCAGUGUCACCGCAUCCCCAAUCAUGGAGUUUCAUGCAGAGGUGCCGUUAUUUGAGAUGGAGCUGGACGAGGCGGAUGAUGUCUUAAUGGCGAACACAGGCAGUUGUUCACCUACGUGGAUGGUUGCUGCGGCGCCCCCUGCAGGCCCAGAGCGGGACGCCUUAAUUUACAUGAACUUCAUGAAGAACCACAGCUGCUAUGAUGCUAUUCCUACCAGCUCCAAGCUCGUCAUCUUUGACACCGCACUGCAGGUGAAGAAGGCUUUCUUUGCUCUGGUGGCUAACGGCGUACGAGCAGCACCGCUGUGGGACAAGAAGCUCAAAUGUUUUGUAGGAAUGUUGACCAUCACAGACUUCAUCAACAUUCUCCAUCGUUAUUACAAGUCUCCUCUGGUUCAGAUAUAUGAGUUGGAGGAGCACAAGAUAGAGACGUGGCGAGAGAUCUAUCUGCAGUACUCCACCAACAGGCUCAUCAGCAUCACUCCCGAGGCCAGUCUGUUUGAUGCCAUCUACUCACUGUUAAAGAACAAGAUACACCGACUUCCUGUCAUCGACCCGGCAUCAGGGAACGUCCUCCAUAUCCUGACACACAAGCGCAUCCUCAAGUUCCUCCACAUAUUUGGUUCUAUGAUUCCAAAGCCGUGGUUCCUGCAGAAACAGAUCAGUCAGCUGGCUAUCGGUACCUUUAAGCAGAUCGCAACAGUGCAGGAAUCUGCGUCGGUCUAUGACGCUUUAAGCAUCUUUGUGGAGCGACGAGUGUCUGCUCUGCCUGUCGUCAAUGAGCAAGGUAAAGUGGUGGCGCUAUACUCCAGAUUUGAUGUCAUUAAUCUCGCAGCCCAGAAGAACUACAACAACUUGGACAUGAGCAUGACAGAGGCUCUUGCCUCCAGAGCCUGCUGCAUGGAAGGAGUACUCAAAUGUUAUCCUCAUGAAACCUUAGAGACCAUCAUUGACCGGAUUGCUAAAGCUGAGGUGCAUCGCUUGGUGUUGGUUGACGCCAAGGAUGUGGUGAGAGGGAUCGUCUCACUGUCGGACCUCCUCCAGGCCCUGGUCCUUAGCCCAGCAGGUAUUGACGCACUGUGCACCUAACGCCACCACCGCCAUACGUGCGCCUUGCUUUCUCUCUCAGUCCCACUCCGGAUGUGUGGCUGGCCCACUCCUCAUCCACAAAGGCCACAAUUGGUUUCUGGUGGUCCAUGCGCCAUCUUCUCCAGUAGUGGCUUAUGUGCGGACCACUUUUUCCAUCCCCAAACUUUAGCAUCCCCAAAGUCAAGAAAACAUAUUUCUCUACAAAAACAUCUAAAGCAGUGACUCCAGGUUGCUUCAACCUUCAUCCAGCCUGCUACUCUACCUUGAUGCUACUACACCCUGAACUGCCUGUUUACAACACCUGCACUGUGUGCACCUUUUGACUUAAUCCCAAAAAAAUAAAGCGCCUCCACCUUCUGUAAUGGUGAAGCCAAGCCAGUGUUCACAUCUGCAGCUCUUGCAAACACCUUCAUGACUCCAGCAGAAAAUGUUAGCAGUUCCUCGGCCUCUCACCUUGCAGAUUUUAUGAGUGAUCAUGUUUUCAAGUGGCAGGAAAAUGAGAUGACUGAGAAGAGUGCUUCUGAACAUGUGACCAACCAAACCCAAGUUAAAUUCACCAUGGGAAAAUGAGAAUCAAUGUGAAGGAAAACAAGACUGUUGGACUUCAAUCAACUUUUUAAUUUAGAAAUGUUAUUUUAUUAAAUGCAUCACGUCAGUGGAGCUUGACAGAAAAGUGAUCAUCUCUAUUCAGACUGAAUUAUAUGGUGUGAAACAAAUAACUCUUGUAAAAUGGUCCAUGUGAUGUGUGUGUUUGUACAUUUGGCCUUUAGAUUUAUUCAUUUUAUUUUUUUCAUUUUUAAAGGCACCUACACUAAUUUUACCAUGCAAAAAAAAAAAUAAAAAAUAAUAAAUAAAAAUAAAAAAAUAUCUUAAAUACUGUAAAAACCCUUUUUCCAUAGUUCAUAGCCAUGUAAAAAACACUCCCCCUGACACGAUCAUGUUCACUAACAAUACAUUAAUAUAUAACUUAAUCAUCAGAAUCAUCUUGCGAAGUGUUGCACAUCUUAUAUCUUACAGUAUAUCUCCAUUUGUUCUUAAUUUAAAGUCUUGUAUUGAUGUGUCAAAACCUUACAACUGAAUGUUGGCUUUUGUUGACUCUUUGUUGUGCAAGUAUCAUCAGCAUAUGCCUUGCUAUAUUGCUCUCACCACCUGCAAUGUCUUGAUUUUAUUUUUUUAGAUAUAUAAUUAGGAAUUGGUGGUAUUUAUUUAAAAAAAAUAUAUAUAUUUUUUUUAAUCAAGCUGUCUAGUGGUCUUUCAGGGCCCUUCACCGAAAGGGUGUUCAGCCGCUAAGGUUAAAUUCUAUCUGUUCAUGCAUAUAAUAAAUAAAAAGGUCUAAUCUUGUGUUAAACAUAAAUAAAAACAGAAUACAAUGAUUUGCAAAUCAUGUUCAACCUAUAUUUAAUUGACUACACUACAAAGAUAAGAUAUUUAAUGUUCGAACUGAUAAACUUGAUUGUUUUUAGAAAAUUAUCAUUAACUUAGAAUUCUAUGGCUGCAACACGUUCCAAAAAAGCUGGGACAGCGUCAUUUUUACCACUGAGUUACAUCACCUUUUCUUUUAACAACAUUCAAUAAACGUUUGGCAACUGAGGAAGCUUUGUAGGUGGAAUUCUUUCCCAUUCUUGCUUGAUGUACAGCUUCAGCUGUUCAACAGUCCGGGGUCUCUGUUGUCGUAUUUUAUGCUUCAUAAUGCGCCACACAUUUUCAAUGGGAGACAGGUGCAGGGAGGCCAGUCUAGUACCCGCACUCUUUUACUACAAAGCCACACUGUUGUAACACAUGCAGAAUGUGGUUUGGCAUUGUCUUGCUGAAAUAAGCAGGGGUGUCCAUUAAAAAGACGUUGCUUGGAUGGCAGCACAUGUUUCUCCAAAACCUGUAUGUACCUUUCAGCAUUAAUGGUACCUUCACAGAUGUGUAAGUUACCCAUGACAUUGGCACUAACACAGCCCCAUACCAUCACAGAUGCUGGCUUUUGAAGUUUGCAUCCAUAACAGUCUGGAUGGUUCUUUUCCUCUUUAGCCCGCAGGACACGACGUCCACAAUUUCCAAAAACAAUUUGAAAUGUGGACUCGUCGGACCACAGAACACUUUUCCACUUUGCGUCAGUCCAUCUUAGAUGAGGUCGGGCCCAUAGAAGCCGGCAGCGUUUCUGAGUGUUGUUGAUAAAUGGCUUUUGCUUUGCAUAGUAGAGUUUCAAGUUGCACUUAUGGAUGUAGCGCCGAACUGUAUUUACUGACAUUGGUUUUUUUAAGUGUUCCUGAGCCCAUGUGAUGAUAUCCUUUACACAUUGAUGUCGGUUUUUGAUGGAGUGCCGCCUGAGGGAUCGAAGAUCACGGGCAUUCGAUGUUGGUUUUCGGCCUUGCCGCUUACAUGCAGUGAUUUCUCCAGAUUCUCUGAACCUUUUGAUGAUAUUAUGGACCGUAGAUGAUGAAAUCCCUAAAUUCCUUGCAAUUGUAGGUUGAGGAACAUUGUCCUUAAACUGGUCGACUAUUUUCUCACGCACUUGUUCACAAAGAGGUGAACCUCACGCCAUCUUUGCUUGUGAAUGAUUGAGCAAUUCAGGGAAGCUCCUUUUAUACCCAAUCAUGGCACCCACCUGUAGCCUGUGGGAUGUUCCUCAACUUUCUCAGUCUUUUUUGCCACCUGUCCCAACUUUUUUGGAAUGUGUUGCAGCCAUAAAAUUCUAAGUUAAUGAUUAUUUGCUAAAAACAAUCAAGUUUAUCACUUUGAACAUUAAAUAUCUUGUCUUGGUAGUGUAUUCAAUUAAAUAUCAGAAUCAGAAUCAUCUUUAUUUGCCAAGUAUGUCCAAAACACACAAGGAAUUUGUCUCCGGUAGUUGGAGGUUGAACAUGAUUUGCAAAUCAUUGUAUUCUGUUUUUAUUGAUGUUUAACACGUCCCAACUUCAUUGGAAUUGGGGUUGCAUUUGCGUUAUUAUCACAGAUGGUCUGUAUGAGCGUGAGCUGGGCUGACUUUGUUUACAAUAGGAGGGUUUGUUAACUUGACAGUUUCUUAUAUCCUGGUCACAUGGUUACACCCACAUGUAAUUUUCUGCAUUGGUAUUUGAGAAGAAUGUUAUUUUUUUAAGGCCUGAAAAGGACAACACAGUGUCAUUUAGUGUCAUAUAAUCACUUCAUGAUCGCAACUACUAUUCUAUUACCAAUUGUACUGUAAUACACGUGAUACUUUUACAUCUAUAGCUUACUACUAUUGACGUUACGAACAGCUAUAUUGUACAAAAAAAGUUGUAGAGUAAACAUUUCAAUUUA